GUCUCUAACCCUAAUCACUUUUCUAAGGCGCCGCCCUCAGAUGCUCGCGUCUCUCUUCUCUUUCGACUUAACAUUAAUCACUUUUCACCGCCUCCUUCUUCGGUCAUCUCCGGCGACUACCCUUUCAAACCCAAGCCUCUAAUAGGUCUCUCAUCACCCUGCUCAUCAUCUCUAAGGCCCUCAAGGGUCCUAGGCCACGUCAGUUUGGAUCUGAUAUUUGUGUUCCACUUAUGGGUCUCUGGUGUGAUUUUGGGCAAAAUCAUACCUUAUAUGUCACGAUCAGUGAAGUUUCAACAGGUUCCUUUAAUUUUUACUUGAUUUCCUUUUUGAAACCUUAACUCUCUUCUAGACCUCUUAGAUCUAUGUUAUUUUUAUGCUUUAUGCCUAUCUCCUUCUGUGACUUGCUUAUUCUAGCUUUCUUCUAAAAGAUCUUCUACUUUAAACCAUUUCUUUUACUCCCUUUGAGAAACUACGGUCUUCAGAGUUCUUUC
rnacentral:lncRNA from 1 species